rnacentral:rRNA from 1 species
CAGGUCUUGACAUCCUCUGAAAACCCUAGAGAUAGGGCUUCUCCUUCGGGAGCAGAGUGACAGGUGGUGCAUGGUUGUCGUCAGCUCGUGUCGUGAGAUGUUGGGUUAAGUCCCGCAACGAGCGCAACCCUUGAUCUUAGUUGCCAUCAUUAAGUUGGGCACUCUAAGGUGACUGCCGGUGACAAACCGGAGGAAGGUGGGGAUGACGUCAAAUCAUCAUGCCCCUUAUGACCUGGGCUACACACGUGCUACAAUGGACGGUACAAAGAGCUGCAAGACCGCGAGGUGGAGCUAAUCUCAUAAAACCGUUCUCAGUUCGGAUUGUAGGCUGCAACUCGCCUACAUGAAGCUGGAAUCGCUAGUAAUCGCGGAUCAGCAUGCCGCGGUGAAUACGUUCCCGGGCCUUGUACACACCGCCCGUCACACCACGAGAGUUUGUAACACCCGAAGUCGGUGGGGUAACCUUUUUGGAGCCAGCCGCCUAAGGUGGGACGGAUGAUUGGGGUG